rnacentral:misc_RNA from 1 species
UUUCCGUAGGUGAACCUGCGGAAGGAUCAUUGAAUCUAUCAAUACACACCGGUGACUAUCCGUGUCCCUUCGGCCUUUUCAGGUCGUCUGCCCUUGGGAGUUGGCAGCCUUUCCUUUUUAUCGAAGGUAAGGUGUUUGUCGACCCACCAAGGGGUCGGCUCCCUACCCGCCCCGGCGGGGAGGGACUCAAGUCGAUGGCAUGUUUUCCAACUCUUUUUCGUGACCCAACUCUAAGACAACUGAAGCAUGCAACAGUCCAUGCGGCUGUUUCAACUAAGACGACUCUCAACAACGGAUAUCUUGGCUCUC